rnacentral:rRNA from 1 species
UACGAAGGGGGCUAGCGUUGCUCGGAAUGACUGGGCGUAAAGGGCGCGUAGGCGGUUCGUACAGUCAGACGUGAAAUUCCCGGGCUCAACCUGGGGCUGCGUUUGAUACGUGCGGGCUUGAGUUCGGAAGAGGGUCGUGGAAUUCCCAGUGUAGAGGUGAAAUUCGUAGAUAUUGGGAAGAACACCGGUGGCGAAGGCGGCGACCUGGUCCGAUACUGACGCUGAGGCGCGAAGCGUGGGGAGCAAACAGG